CACACAUACCAGCUGAGUUUUUGGGAUACAGCCAUGCUGUAUGCAGAGAGCGGGGGAACCAUCGAGAAGGACCGCAGCGGUUUCUUUUCAGGGGUGAAUCGGACGACAGGAUGUUAUGGAAUUCUGUUGGUCUGUAGGGAGACUCUUACUCCCGAAUCCGGCAGCUAACCUCGUAAGCUGAAAAUAAGAGAGGC
rnacentral:sRNA from 1 species